rnacentral:rRNA from 2 species
GAAUGCUGACAUAAGUAACGAUAAAGCGGGUGAAAAGCCCGCUCGCCGGAAGACCAAGGGUUCCUGUCCAACGUUAAUCGGGGCAGGGUGAGUCGACCCCUAAGGCGAGGCCGAAAGGCGUAGUCGAUGGGAAACGGGUUAAUAUUCCCGUACUUGGUGUUACUGCGAAGGGGGGACGGAGAAGGCUAUGUUGGCCGGGCGACGGUUGUCCCGGUUUAAGCGUGUAGGUGUGUGUUCCAGGUAAAUCCGGUUCACUUUAACACUGAGGCGUGACGACGAGGCACUACGGUGCUGAAGCAACAAAUGCCCUGCUUCCAGGAAAAGCCUCUAAGCAUCAGGUAACACGAAAUCGUACCCCAAACCGACACAGGUGGUCAGGUAGAGAAUACCAAGGCGCUUGAGAGAACUCGGGUGAAGGAAC